rnacentral:rRNA from 2 species
AAAUUGAAGAGUUUGAUCAUGGCUCAGAUUGAACGCUGGCGGCAGGCCUAACACAUGCAAGUCGAACGGUAACAGGAAACAGCUUGCUGUUUCGCUGACGAGUGGCGGACGGGUGAGUAAUGUCUGGGAAACUGCCUGAUGGAGGGGGAUAACUACUGGAAACGGUAGCUAAUACCGCAUAAUGUCGCAAGACUAAAGAGGGGGACCUUCGGGCCUCUUGCCAUCGGAUGUGCCCAGAUGGGAUUAGCUAGUAGGUGGGGUAACGGCUCACCUAGGCGACGAUCCCUAGCUGGUCUGAGAGGAUGACCAGCCACACUGGAACUGAGACACGGUCCAGACUCCUACGGGAGGCAGCAGUGGGGAAUAUUGCACAAUGGGCGCAAGCCUGAUGCAGCCAUGCCGCGUGUAUGAAGAAGGCCUUCGGGU